UACAGAGGUCUCAAGCGUUGUUCGGAUUCAUUGGGCGUAAAGGGUGCGUAGGCGGCGCGGUAAGUCGGGUGUGAAAUCUCGGGGCUUAACUCCGAAACUGCAUUCGAUACUGCGUGGCUAGAGUGCUGGAGGGGAGACUGGAAUUUACGGUGUAGCGGUGAAAUGCGUAGAUAUCGGGAGGAACACCAGUGGCGAAGGCGAGUCUCUGGGAUGAUGCUGACGCUGAGGCGCGAAAGCGUGGGGAGCGAACAGG
rnacentral:rRNA from 1 species